GUGGUUGUGGCUCAACGGUAGAGAGCUCACCUAGCAUGUGCAAGGUCCUGGGUUUGAUCCUCAGCACCACA
rnacentral:tRNA from 1 species